rnacentral:misc_RNA from 1 species
GAUGAAGAACGCAGCGAAAUGCGAUAAGUAGUGUGAAUUGCAGAAUUCAGUGAAUCAUCGAAUCUUUGAACGCACAUUGCGCCCCUUGGUAUCCCGAGGGGCAUGCCUGUUCGAGCGUCAUUUCACCACUCAAGCCUGGCUUGGUGGUGGGCGACGUCCUCUUUGGGGACGCGCCUCGAAACGCUCGGCGGCGUGGCACCGGCUUUAAGCGUAGCAGAAUCUUUCGCUUUGGAAGUCGGGGCCCCGUCUGCCGGAAGACCUGCUCGCAAGGUUGACCUCGGAUCAGGCAGGGAUACCCGCUGAACUUAAGCAUAUCAAUAAGCGGAGGA